rnacentral:tRNA from 1 species
AAUUUUUCAAUUUUUCUCGUCCCGGGUUCUGCCCCCUUUAGGAAUUUUUCUCGCG